GACGAACGCUGGCGGCGUGCUUAACACAUGCAAGUCGAACGAAGUGGCGCACGGGUGAGUAACGCGUCAUCAACCUGCCCUUCAGAGGGGGAUAACAGUUGGAAACGACUGCUUAUACCGCAUACUGAAGGUGGGGAUUGCGUCUGAUUGGCGAGUUGUAGGGGUACCGGCCCACCAAGGCGAUGAGGAGUAGCCUGUCUGAGAGGAUGAACGGCCACAUUGGGACUGAGACACGGUCCAGACUCCUACGGGAGGCAGCAGUGGGGAAUCUUCCGCAAUGGACGAAAGUCUGACGGAGCAACGCCGCGGGAGUGAUGACGGCCUUCGGGUUGUAAAGCUCUGUUAAUCGGGACGCGGUACCGGAAUAGAAAGCCACGGCUAACUACGUGCCAGCAGCCGCGGGAAUU
rnacentral:rRNA from 1 species